CGCCCUCGCCCUCGCCCUCGCCAUCGCGGCGGCCCCCGCAUCCAGCGCCCCGGAACGCCGCGCUCACCCAAACAGCUGCUGAGGAUUGAGGGCUUAUCAGGAGCUAGUUCACCAGGCCCAGGUAUAUGAUGCUUCAGCUCUGGACAGGCCUCAGGAUGCCACAACUUGCAAGCAAAUAAGCCCACUCCACUGCUUCUGUAAUGGGGCAUGUUGGGC